GAUUAAUGAGAGGCUGGACAUGACCCAGCAAUGUGCACUGCCAGCCCAGAGGACAGUUGUCUCGUGGGCUGCACCAAAAGCAGCAUGGGCAGCAGGGCCAGGGAGGGGGAUUCUGCCCCUCUGCUCUGCUCUGGUGAGAGCCCACCUGCAGGGCUGCAUCAGCUCUGGGGCCCUCCAUAUGAAAGGAAUGUGGGCCAUAGGAGUGAGUCCAGAGGAGUCACAAAGGUGAUGCAAGGCCUGCAGCACCUCUACUGUGGAGACAGGCUGAGAGAGCUGGGGAAAGAGAGGGUUCCACCUUACAGCCCCUUCCAGUACCUGAACAGGGCCUGAAGAAACCUGUCAGGGACUCUAUAAAAGAGUCUGUAGUAAUUGAACAAGGGGGAGUGGCCUUAAAUUGAAAGAGAAUAGGUUUAGAAUAGACAGACAGAGAGGUGGUGAGGAACUGGAACAGGUUGCCCAAGGAAAUUGUGGAUGCCCCAUUGCUGGAAGUGUUCCAGGCCAGGUUGGAUGGGGCUUUGAGCAACCCAGUCUAGAGGAAGGUGUCCCUGCUCAUGGCAUGGGGGUUGGAAGUAGAAGAUCUUUAAAAUCCCUUUAAAUGCACAACGUUCUAUGGUUCCAUGAUUCUAUGAUUCUAUGAAUCUAUGAUUUCAUGAUUCUGUGUUAUGUCAGGGAUGAGUGGGUCCUCUUUUACUGGAUUCAGGGCUUAUCCCAGGGAAGGAAAGUGUAUCCCUUUUGGCACAGAAAAUUAUGACUCCUUCUUGGACUUGUUCUGUUUAACAGAUUUGGCCAAAACUUUAGUAAGGACUGAGAUUUCUAUGAUGAUUUUCUUAUUAGCCCUCAACCAAGUUUCAGAAACAAGUUUUGUCUGUAUCAUCUGUUAGUCUCAAUUCAGAAACUGACAAUGUGACAUGAGGUGCUCACAUUAUAGUUGCAUCAAUAAUGCUACAGACAGCUUAAACAAGAAAAUAGGUACUUAACACUGGUUACUUGGUAAUCCUUUAAUUCACAAUGGUGUGCAUAAUGUAACUGUCAAUCCUCUAAAGUAUUAUGGAAUUGUAAACUACAUGAAACUUUGGACUAUAUAAAACACACUGUAAUAAAGGCUUGAAAAAUGCUAAGAAAAAGGCAUGUUCCCUUUGGCAAAUGUCAUCAUGUCUGCAAAGAGCAUAAGAAAAGCUCAGAGAAGACUGUUGGUGCAAAGCCCUUCCAGGGGCCUUGUUUGCUUUAUUGCAAAAAUUUCUGCUUCCAAAUGACCCUUCUUUGAGAUAAAUAACAAAGAAAACAGUUUCCACCAUUUAGAACUACAUAUCAACCAUAAAAGAAGGAACAAAUGUAAUCUGGAAAACAUAAAUUCCUUGUUUGAUGUCCUGUCAUUUUAUUGAAGACAAUGACAGCACCUAGCAAGGAAAAAAUCCAGUACAGAGCCUGUUUUCAAUGCAGAGAUGGAAACUGAAUUUUGCUGCAAAGCUGACUGAGAAGCUCUGUAGACAGCUUCAGAAAUUAGCUACUGUGUUGGCAAGGUCAGUGGUUAGUGCUGAUGCUGGUCAAUGGCCUUCAAAGUUCCUAAUUCCUAGGUGAUUGAAAUGUUAACUAGCUCUUGUCAAAAGUGAAAGGAAAAAAACGGCCUGGAACAUGAUCUACUGCAUCUGUCAACCUAACGUCUUGGUCACUUUGAGUUUGGCACCUACAUGAAAGUGUUUGUUGUUUAAUCAAAGAUUUCAUCAAUCAUUUUAAUGGGGGCUUUCAAACAGAAAUUAAGUUUUUGAGAUGCCUGCUUAAAUGUUCUCUUAGUUGCUAAUGUUGACAUGGAUGUUCCUAUAUUAAGUAUUGGUCUUGGUCAUAAAAGUGAAAUAGGUAUGUAGUGGGAUAUUUUCCUGUAUGGUGAAAGAAGUGAUUGAUUCCAUUAAUGAAUAUAAUACAAGAGAAUUAUUUUUGUAAAAUGUUCAUUAAUAAUGACUGAAAAAUGAAUGAUAAUCAAGCAUCAAGAGGGGUUUUUCGGGAUACAACCUUUUUUGUAGUUGGAAUGAAUAUAAUUAAAUAUGAAGCUGGGAGGCACAUAUGUCCUAUGCAAUCCUAAGUUCCCUCUGCUGAAAGAAAAGAAACAGUUUUAGCAUUACAUUAAUUUCAUAAUAAAAAUAUUUUUUACUGUGCUAUUUUACAGGACAAAAAUAUUUGAACAUUAUUUGAUAAUUAGGAGGAAUUUUAUUAAUUUAUUUGGAUUAUUUAUCUCUAGAUAAUUGUCUUUUUAUUUUGAAUGCAACAGAUGCAAUUAGACUGCAAAUAUGUCUCCUG